rnacentral:tRNA from 1 species
UCCCUGGUAGUCUAAUGGCUAAGACUCUGAGCUCCCAAUGCAUGGGGCCCAGGUUCGAUCCCUGGUCAGGGAA